UACGUAGGUGGCAAGCGUUGUCCGGAUUUAUUGGGUUUAAAGGGUGCGUAGGUGGCCCUGUAAGUCAGUGGUGAAAUAUCUCAGCUUAACUGAGAGGGUGCCAUUGAUACUGCAGGGCUUGAGUACAGAUGAGGUAGGCGGAAUUGACGGUGUAGCGGUGAAAUGCAUAGAUAUCGUCAAGAACACCGAUAGCGAAGGCAGCUUACUGGGCUGUAACUGACGCUGAGGCACGAAAGUGUGGGGAUCAAACAGG
rnacentral:rRNA from 1 species